AUUGAACGCUGGCGGCAGGCCUAACACAUGCAAGUCGAACGAGUGGCGGACGGGUGAGUAAUGUCUGGGACAAUGCUUGAUGGAGGGGGAUAACUACUGGAAACGGUAGAUAAUACCGCAUACCAUCGGAUGUGCCCAGAUGGGAUUAGCUAGUAGGUGGGGUAAAGGCUCACCUCGGCGACGAUCCCUCGCUGGUCUGAGAGGAUGACCAGCCACACUAGAACUGAGACACGGCCCAGACUCCUACGGGAGGCAGCAGUAGGGAAGAUUGCACAAUGGGCGCAAGCCUGAUGCAGCCAGGCCGCGUGUAUGAAGAAGGCCUUCGGGUUGUAAAGUACUUUCAGCGGGGAGGCGUUACCCGCAGAAGAAGCACCGGCUAACUCCGUGCCAGCAGCCGCGGUAAUAC
rnacentral:rRNA from 1 species